rnacentral:rRNA from 1 species
UACGUAGGGGGCAAGCGUUGUCCGGAAUUAUUGGGCGUAAAGCGCGUGUAGGUGGUCCAUUAAGUCCGCUGUAAAAGUCAAGGGCUCAACCCUUGAAAGCCGGUGGAUACUGAUGGACUAGAGUACGGAAGAGGCGAGUGGAAUUCCUGGUGUAGCGGUGAAAUGCGCAGAUAUCAGGAGGAACACCAAUUGCGAAGGCAGCUCGCUGGGACGUUACUGACGCUGAGACGCGAAAGCGUGGGGAGCAAACAGGAUUAGAAACCCUCGUAGUCC